UCACCUUAACCCUCGCCUACCAACUUUGCUUUCACAAGUAAUGAGCCCCUCGCAUCGUUCUUGAUUGGUUAGGCAUGAUGAAUACCCAGCUUCUAUUGGCUACUCAUGUGUCAAUCAUAAAGCGAUGCCAAUCAUGGUAGAUUGAACAUCGCUUACAUUGUAUCAUUUGACUGAACAAGCUACCUAAAUAAUUACCUAGUACAUCAAGAGGAAAGGAUUUUUUGUUACUGAUGCAGAUACCAUUUAAAUGGCAGAUCGUCUGUUUUUAUUUUCAUUCUCUUCGGCACACGUUUAACUAGACCCCUUGAAAUAGCGUCUCAACCCUACAGAUGUGGAAACAGUACUCCGGGGAUGCACCACAUGCAUGUCACACUCCCCUGUGUCCCUGAGGGGCUUCAGCAGACCCCAUACAGCAGAGCCGCAGGAACCCCCACCCCACCCCACCCCCCCCCCAGCAGCAGGAGCAGGAGCAGCAGCAACAGCAGUGGCCUGUCCACAGAGAUUCCUUUCAGUGAACUCGGCACCCCAGAGCCGCACAUGGCGAAAGGUCACAGAGCCCUAGCAUGAAGGACAGGAGGUGGAGACAAUGUUUGGACGAGACCGGUUGGGGGGGAAAAAAGAAGCUUCUGGAAAAGAGGGGUGGUUGGAAGAAAGUCUGCUCAGACAGUGAGUGAAAGAGAGAGAGAGAGAGAGAGAGAGAGAGAGAGAGAGAGAGAGAGAGAGAGAGAGAGAGAGAGAGAGAGAGAGAGAGAGAGAGAGAGAGAGAGAGAGAGAGAGAGAGAGAGAGAGAGAGAUUCCUGUUAAGUGGCAACAGGUGUGGUGGGGGUUGGGGGGGGGUCGGGGGUGGCGUGGCGACGUGCCUUCAGGGCCUCUGUGGAGUGGAAGAGGUUAAAGAGGGUCUGCUGUCCCACCUGUAGCUUGUCAGCUGCUGGAGGCCUGUUAAAACGUCAGCUGUUUCUGAGCAGAAGUGUCUGUCCGUGUGUUUGAAGAAGGCCAUUUUGUGUGUGUGUGUCUCUGUGUGCAAGUGUAUUUUGCGUGGUACAAGUGUGUGUUUGUCUGAAUCGGGGUGUUUUGCAUGAUAUUGCUUUGUGUGUGUGUGUGCGUGUAUGUGUAUGUGUAUGUGUCAGUGUCAGAAAGAGAUCGAAAAGUAGAGGGGAAAGGAAACGAGCCAGGCUGAUUUGCGUGUGUGUGGGCUGCUCGCUGCCCACGGGCGUCCUGUGGGGAUUUGUUUAUUCACAAACACACACACACACACACACACACACACACGCGCACACAAAGCCACAGCCUUAGUGGUGUUCGUUUUGACAGUUGCCCAUCACCAGACCAUAUCCUGUCCCCGCUAGAGAAGUGACCUCAAAGAGACGGAGUCCUAAUUGCUCAAGCAGCUCCCCGAUCCUCCAAGGGGAAAGGCGCAGCUGGACGUUGGGCUGUGGGAAGGUAGAACUGUGCCUAAAAAAAGAAGAAACGCAGAGUAGGAUUUGCGCUUGUACAUGAUGAACUGGAAAAACAAAACACUGAACGCAAUUGUAAUUAACUACUUGCGAAAACGCAAUUUGGAGUUUGCAGUUGUAAUUUCCAAUCUGUAAAACUGCAAAAAAUAAAAUAUUGUAAUUGUAAGUGCGUCCGUUCUGAGUGUAGUCUUUUCACGUGAUUUUUGUUCGCUUUCUCUCGCAAGGUUCUGUGCCAAAACAUCACGGAAGCACGCCUCAACUUUGAGUGCAAAGAAAUCACAGAAAAUGAACGCGCAUAAAAUCACCUUGAAUGUCUUUCUCACUUGCUCCACCUGCUCGCAUGAUUCUACUGUUUGUCUCAGUCUUUCUUUCCAUCUCACCAACCAUUUAUAUCUUACGCUUUGUCUGUCUCUCAUUCUCAUACACACACACACACACACCACACUCUGACCGUUGCAUCCACACUCUGACCCUUCCAAAUAGCUCUACAUUUGUGAAGCUCAGAAAGAUGGUGUAUCUCAUCAUUGGCCUUGAGGCUUUACACAGCCCUACAGAAUUCCAACUUGUCCUUUUCUGUUUGAUUUGGGCCACCUCUCCAGAUCGUCCCCCCCCCCUCUUUUUUGACUGAUGUGGUUUUUGUGGGAAAUGCCAUCUGUCCCGUCAUCGGCGGCGAGGAGUGGGAGACGAGGGUACUGGAAAGGGCAUCGCAUCUGUUUGUGU
ensembl:lncRNA